rnacentral:rRNA from 1 species
UACGGAGGUUGCAAGCGUUAUCCGGAUUUAUUGGGUUUAAAGGGUCCGUAGGCGGAUCUGUAAGUCAGUGGUGAAAUCUCACAGCUUAACUGUGAAACUGCCAUUGAUACUGCAGGUCUUGAGUGUUAUUGAGGUAGCUGGAAUAAGUAGUGUAGCGGUGAAAUGCAUAGAUAUUACUUAGAACACCAAGUGCGAAGGCAGGUUACUAAGCAACAACUGACGCUGAUGGACGAAAGCGUGGGGAGCGAACAGG